GACGUAGGGCGCGAGCGUUGUCCGGAUUUAUUGGGCGUAAAGAGCUCGUAGGCGGCUUGUCGCGUCGACUGUGAAAACCCGCGGCUCAACUGCGGGCCUGCAGUCGAUACGGGCAGGCUAGAGUUCGGUAGGGGAGACUGGAAUUCCUGGUGUAGCGGUGAAAUGCGCAGAUAUCAGGAGGAACACCGGUGGCGAAGGCGGGUCUCUGGGCAGUUACUGACGCUGAGGAGCGAAAGCGUGGGGAGCGAACAGG
rnacentral:rRNA from 1 species